rnacentral:rRNA from 1 species
UACGGAGGGGGCUAGCGUUGUUCGGAAUUGCUGGGCGUAAAGCGCACGUAGGCGGCUUUGCAAGUUAGAGGUGAAAGCCCGGGGCUCAACUCCGGAAUUGCCUUUAAAACUGCAUCGCUAGAAUUGUGGAGAGGUAAGUGGAAUUCCGAGUGUAGAGGUGAAAUUCGUAGAUAUUGGGAGGAACACCGGUGGCGAAGGCGACCGCCUGGACGAAGAUUGACGCUGAGGCGCGAGAGCGUGGGGAGCAAACAGG